AACUCUAUAUAAAAUCUAGUCUAUAAUAAAUUUGUCCUUGCAAGACAAGAGAGAGAGGGAGAGAGAGAAAUAUGGCUAGAAAUAGUAUCGCAUAUGCACUAAUAUUACUCAUAAUUGGAGUAGUAGUUAUUUGUUUUGCGGUUGAUAAUGUGUUCCAUGAUACUAUUCCUGAAUUCCGUGAGCCUUCGUCUUAUUAUGUUGCAAAUGAAGCUUUGGCUUUAUGUAUAAAACAAUGCAAGAAAAAAUUCCCGUCAAGAUCAAAAGUGUACCAGGAAUGCAUGGCCAAAUGCCUUGAGCAGUUCUCUUCUAAGUCCAACACCUAAGUGAUGGUUUGGUAGAGUUGGGAUUUUAAUAAAUCUUCAAAUGAAAAGAAGAGGAGUUAAGCAUCAGAUUAUAUGGAAGUGAUUAGUGUUGCUGAUAUUGGAUAUUUCAAUACUUUUCUUUUCCAUCUUUAUUUUCUUAUUGUGUGUACUUCAAAUAUAUAUGAUGGGGUUUCAGGUGUCCCGUUGUUUUUCCCGUAAGGCAAUGGCCUGGUAACUACUUUUGUUAUAAUAAAAUGUUUUAAAAUUAUAUGAAA